rnacentral:rRNA from 1 species
AGCGAACGUUUGCGGCGGGCCUAACACAUGCAAGUCGAACGGGCUAGCAAUAGUCAGUGGCGCACGGGUGCGUAACACGUGGGUAAUCAACCCUUCAGCUCGGGAUAACGCCUUGAAAGGGGCGCUAAUACCGGAUGCGACGCGAGGAGCCUCGGCGCUUCGCGGGAAAGAUUCGCAAGGAUCACUGAAGGACGAGCCUGCGGCCCAUCAGCUAGUUGGUGAGGUAAAGGCUCACCAAGGCGACGAUCUGUAGCGGGUCUGAGAGGAUGAUCCGCCACACUGGAACUGAGACACGGUCCAGACUCCUACGGGAGGCAGCAGUGGGGAAUUUUGGACAAUGGGCGCAAGCCUGAUCCAGCCAUGCCGCGUGUGCGAUGAAGGCC